rnacentral:rRNA from 1 species
UACGUAGGGGGCAAGCGUUGUCCGGAUUUAUUGGGCGUAAAGAGCGUGUAGGCGGCCUGAAAGGUCAGCUGUGAAAACUCGAGGCUCAACCUCGAGACGUCGGUUGAAACCGUCUGGCUAGAGUCCGGAAGAGGAGAGUGGAAUUCCUGGUGUAGCGGUGAAAUGCGCAGAUAUCAGGAAGAACACCUAUGGCGAAGGCAGCUCUCUGGGACGGUAAUGACGCUGAGACGCGAAAGCGUGGGGAGCGAACAGG